CAGAGUAGAGAUGGAAUCGAUCAGCAAAGGAAUAUUGGAAUGAGAACAAACAAUUUCUUAAUUACGGUUGGUGGGAUGGUUGGUUGGUUAGUGGUUACCUUGUGGUGGAAGGGCAGAAUGUAAUCGUAUAAUCGGCGCCUUUACAUGUAAAAGUACUCGUGGCAUCGUCGUAGGCGUAGCUAUAGGCCCUGGGACACGCAUUCUUGAAAAUCUCCGAAUACAUCGACGGCCUGCAAGUCGACGGUGAGCCAUACUCUCCGCUGCAACAGUACUCCGGACUGCCAAAUGCCUCGCAUGCACUCUUGCAUGCCUGCCCCUCCCCGCCCCGCAAUUCGUUCGGGCACAUCCUGUUCAAGUCAGUCGCACACCCCGUUGCCCCGCAAGCACCUGACCCCCCACUUGGCUCCACCAUCAUUGGCAGAUUGUAGCCGUCCACCAGGCUGACGUCGUAGAAGUCCUGGGUUCCCGAGUCAGGGCCAGACCCGACUGUGAACUCCGCAAGAGUUGCGGGUGGGGUUGCCCCUGCACCAUUGCACUCCAGCUGGUUGGACCCACAAUCGCCGGUGGCGCAGCUUCCUUGCCCGGUUGAGGGGUCGAAUGUACAACCUGUUCUGCCCCAAAACCGGCCUGACCAGCUGGGAGGAGCUUGGAAGGACCUGGACCCCCCCGGUGGAAGUUCAAACCCGGUGCUGUCCAACUUGGCGCUGCCGGCGUUGGCUAAUAUUCCUGGCCAUACCAUGUGGUUGCACCUGUUUACUAAUGUAAAUGUAGCCCCUGAAAUUUCUGCCAAAAAACACACACACACACACAUAUAAAUACAACGUCAACAAUCAGUCCAUCAAUGUGAUUCUUAGUUACACACAUCAGUUACACACACAAACGUCACGUGCAUGUUACAUGUAUAUGUGUGUGUGUGUGUGUAUAUAUAUAACUAUAACUAUAACUAGCUAGCUGAAUCAACGUUAAUAGAGUAGGUUUUUUGUAAUUAACUGAAAAUUAAUAGAAAAAGGAAAUAGUAAAAUAUAAUGUUACUGCGUCCAUUAGGAUACAAACCUUUGCUGUUGAUCACUAGGAAAACCAAGAUGAUGCGAAGACAGAAACAAGUCGAGGACAUUGGCAGAAUUGGAAUCAAUCAAUGAAA
rnacentral:lncRNA from 1 species